UACGGAGGGGGCAAGCGUUAUUCGGAAUCAUUGGGCGUAAAGGGCGCGUAGGCGGCUUCAUAAGUCUUGGGUGAAAGCCCUCGGCUCAACCGAGGAAUUGCCUUGGAUACUGUGAAGCUCGAGGCUGGAAGAGGGCAGUGGAAUUCCCGGUGUAGCGGUGGAAUGCGUAGAGAUCCGGAAGAACACCGGUGGCGAAGGCGGCCCGCUGGGCAACUGCUGACACUGAGGCGCGACAGCGUGGGGAGCAAACAGG
rnacentral:rRNA from 1 species